GGCGAGUGAAGCGGUAAAAGCUCAAAUUUGAAAUCUGGUACUUUCAGUGCCCGAGUUGUAAUUUGUAGAAUUUGUCUUUGAUUAGGUCCUUGUCUAUGUUCCUUGGAACAGGACGUCAUAGAGGGUGAGAAUCCCGUUUGGCGAGGAUACCUUUUCUCUGUAAGACUUUUUCGAAGAGUCGAGUUGUUUGGGAAUGCAGCUCAAAGUGGGUGGUAAAUUCCAUCUAAAGCUAAAUAUUGGCGAGAGACCGAUAGCGAACAAGUACAGUGAUGGAAAGAUGAAAAGAACUUUGAAAAGAGAGUGAAAAAGUACGUGAAAUUGUUGAAAGGGAAGGGCAUUUGAUCAGACAUGGUGUUUUUUGCAUGCACUCGCCUCUCGUGGGCUUGGGCCUCUCAAAAAUUUCACUGGGCCAACAUCAAUUCUGGCAGCAGGAUAAAUCAUUAAGAAUGUAGCUACUUCGGUAGUGUUAUAGCUUUUUGGAAUACUGUUAGCCGGGAUUGAGGACUGCGCUUCGGCAAGGAUGUUGGCAUAAUGGUUAAAUGCCGCCCGUCUUGSACACGGG
rnacentral:rRNA from 1 species